rnacentral:rRNA from 1 species
CGACCAGUAUCCAGUCUGGAGCUAACACAGGUGCUGCAUGGCUGUCGUCAGCUCGUGCCGUGAGGUGUAUGGUUAAGUCCCACAACGAGCGCAACCCUCGUCGCUAGUUAAUUCCCUAGCGAGACCGCCUCGCAAAACGAGGAGGAAGGUGGGGAUGGCGUCAAGUCAGCAUGGCCUUUAUACCCUGGGCGACACACACGCUACAAUGGGUGGUACAGUAGGUAGCGAAGGAGCGAUCCGGAGCAAAUCCUUAAAACCAUCCUCAGUACGGAUUGCAGGCUGAAACCCGCCUGCAUGAAGCCGGAGUUGCUAGUAACCGCAUAUCAGCAUGGUGCGGUGAACUACGUUCUCGGGCCUU